rnacentral:rRNA from 1 species
CCUACGGGAGGCAGCAGUGGGGAAUAUUGCACAAUGGGGGAAACCCUGAUGCAGCAACGCCGCGUGAAGGAGGACGGUUUUCGGAUUGUAAACUUCUGUUCUUAGUGAAACAUAAUCACGGUCGCGAAGGAGCAAGCCACGGCUAACUACGUGACAGCAGCCGCGGUAAUACGUAGGUGGCAAGCGUUGUCCGGAAUUACUGGGUGUAAAGGGAGCGCAGGCGGGAAGCUAAGUCGGCUGUGAAACCGACGGGCUUAACUUGUAGACUGCAGCUGAAACUGGUUUUCUUGAGUGAAGUAGAGGUUGGUGGAACUCCGAGUGUAGCGGUGAAAUGCGUAGAUAUUCGGAGGAACACCGGUGGCGAAGGCGGCCCACUGGGCUUUAACUGACGCUGAGGCUCGAAAGUGUGGGGAGCGAACAGGAUUAGAUACCCUAGUAGUC